rnacentral:rRNA from 1 species
AUUGAACGCUGGCGGCAGGCCUAACACAUGCAAGUCGAGCGGAUGAAGGGAGCUUGCUCCUGGAUUCAGCGGCGGACGGGUGAGUAAUGCCUAGGAAUCUGCCUGGUAGUGGGGGAUAACGUCCGGAAACGGGCGCUAAUACCGCAUACGUCCUGAGGGAGAAAGUGGGGGAUCUUCGGACCCCAUGCUAUCAGAUGAGCCUAGGUCGGAUUAGCUAGUUGGUGGGGUAAAGGCCUACCAAGGCGACGAUCCGUAACUGGUCUGAGAGGAUGAUCAGUCACACUGGAACUGAGACACGGUCCAGACUCCUACGGGAGGCAGCAGUGGGGAAUAUUGGACAAUGGGCGAAAGCCUGAUCCAGCCAUGCCGCGUGUGUGAAGAAGGUCUUCGGAUUGUAAAGCACUUUAAGUUGGGAGGAAGGGCAGUAAGUUAAUACCUUGCUGUUUUGACGUUACCAACAGAAUAAGCACCGGCUAACUUCGUG